UACGUAGGGCGCAAGCGUUGUCCGGAAUUAUUGGGCGUAAAGAGCUCGUAGGCGGUUUGUCGCGUCUGCUGUGAAAACUCGAGGCUCAACCCCGGACUUGCGGUGGGUACGGGCAGACUAGAGUGUGGUAGGGGAGACUGGAAUUCCUGGUGUAGCGGUGAAAUGCGCAGAUAUCAGGAGGAACACCGGUGGCGAAGGCGGAUCUCUGGGCCAUUACUGACGCUGAGGAGCGAAAGCGUGGGGAGCGAACAGG
rnacentral:rRNA from 1 species